UCUUGAACUUUCCAUUUUUUUUGAUGUUCCAGCAGAUGUAGUGCUCUUUUGUUUAGGUGCGAGUACCUCCUUCUUAGGAGCUUCUUUUGCAGAAGGUUUAUCCUUCUUUGGACCUUUGCAUGUCGUAGCAUUGUGCCCACACUGCACGUUGUUACUACACCUAAGAAUGCCUUCAGUCUUUCUUCUCUUAUGAGGGUUCUGCACGUCAUCCUCCUUCUUUCUUCUUAACU
rnacentral:lncRNA from 1 species